AGCUAUAGGUCCUCCGGGACCUGCCUGCCUGCUCUUGGUCCCCGCCCCAACCUGGAACCUUUCCCCGCCACACCCCUCCGUCCCAGUCCCAGGCCACCCGAGGGACCCAUGGCUGCGGCGGCAGCCCCGCGAGGAUGCCAGUGGGGAGAGCCUCGCGCGCUUGACCGGGCGGUGAAGUUGCUGCAGCGCCUGGAAGAGCAAUGCAGGGACCCCAGGCUGGCCAUGGGGCCCCCGUCGCUGCGGGACCUCCUGCCCCGCACCGCACAGCUGCUGGGAGAGGUGGCAAAGGCCCGGCGCGAGGCCAGCGGAGACCCCGAGGGUCCCGGUGGCGCCGGUGAUUUUCUGAUCAUCUACCUGACCAAUCUGGAGGCCAAAGGCAGGCAGGUGGCCGAGCUCCUGCCACCCCGGGGCAAAAAGGACGCGAACCAGGAUGUUUUCCGGGAGGGCUCCAGAUUCAGGCGACAACUGGCCAAGCUGGCCCUCAUCUUCAGUCACAUGCACGCGGAGCUGAGCGCUCUCUUCCCUGCGGGGAAGUACUGCGGACACCUGUACCAGCUCACCAAGGGCUCUGCGCACACCUUCUGGAGGGAGCACUGUGGCGUUCGGUGCGUGCUUCCCUGGGCUGAAUUCCAGUCCCUCCUGUGCGCCUGCCACCCCGUGGAGCCAGGUCCCACCAUGCAGGCCUUGCGGUCCACCUUGGACCUCACCUGUAGCGGCCACAUAUCGGUCUUCGAGUUUGACAUCUUCACCAGACUCUUCCAGCCAUGGCCCACCCUACUGAGGAACUGGCAACUCCUGGCUGUCAACCACCCUGGGUACAUGGCCUUCCUCACCUACGAUGAGGUCCAAACGCGCUUGCAGGCCUACAGGGACAAACCGGGCAGCUACAUCUUCCGGCCCAGCUGUACCCGCCUAGGGCAGUGGGCCAUCGGGUACGUGAGCUCCGACGGAAGCAUCCUACAGACCAUUCCUCUCAACAAACCUCUGCUGCAGGUGCUCCUCAAAGGACAGAAGGACGGCACCUUCCUCUUCCCUGAUGGAAAGAACCACAACCCAGACCUGACUGAGCUCUGCCGGGCAGAGCCUUACCAGCGCAUCCAGGUGUCAGAGGAGCAACUGCGACUCUACCAAGCCAUGAACUCCACGUUCCAGCUGUGCAAGAUCUGCGCCGAGAGGGACAAGGACGUGAGGAUUGAGCCCUGUGGGCAUCUUCUCUGCAGCUGCUGCCUGGCUGCCUGGCAGCACUCCGACAGCCAGACCUGUCCCUUCUGCCGUUGUGAGAUCAAAGGCCGAGAGGCCGUGAGUAUCUGUCCGGCACAAGAGAGGCCAAUGGAGGUCAGGACUGCUGCAGAUGACUCAAGAGACAACUGUCACCAGGAGGCCAAGUGGAAACUGGAGCCGGUGACUCCCUCUGCUCCCCCACUGCCCCCUGAAGAUCCGUUACCCCAGAGACCCCAAGACAAAGGCUGGCUGACAGUGGCACCGCUCGCCCUGCCCAGACUCCGCCCCCCACUUCCUCUCCCCAAAAUGGCAUCGGUUCAGUGGGAAGUCACCUCCAGGCCCCAGGCCAGGGAGGAGGCCACAGAAAGCUCCUGAGGUUCGGCGUCCCUCCCGCCAGCCCUGCAGGACCCCCAGUUGUGCCCAAGACCCAGAGGCCAGGGCAGGGCACCUGGACUGGAGCGAGGGAGCCUGGGGGCUGGAAGUGGGGGCAAAGCAGAAAUAAAUUGAAUCCUGAUCCUUCAA